AACAACGUUCUUGUGUGUGACCCAAUAGGCUCAUAUUAAUUGGCAAUAGGCCCAGUCCAACAAGGCCUAUAAAUCAUAAGUGGCCUCUAGCAAGACAUUAUGACUACCCAACUAAUAUGAGGAUCAAUAGUCCGAUAAAGCCUAUUAAAUAGAACAUGUAUUAAUCCCUUUGUCUCACGAUAUCUAGUUUGAACAUAAGUCAUGGUCAAUGUCAAACUUAUAAUGUUCAAACUUAUGAUUUCUCGAUCUCUAAGUAGACUGAUAAAUUCAAAUGAUAUUGAUCACACUAUCAAUUCAUUUGAGCACGGCCAUGCAUUUCUCAGUCUCACUCAUCGAGGGGCCCAGAAGAUAUCUCUCUCAUAGAGAGGGACAAAUCCUAUCUUGAUUGUUCAUUAUCAUCUACAUAAUUUCUAUUAUGCUUAAUCAUAACCUUUAUGAUUGUCCGAUUAAAGACAACGUUUGAUUAUGUCAAAACAUAACAGUCCUUAUGUUGGAAACUAUGACAAUCUCAAGUCAAAGGAUUAAGACAUAACUACUUUGAGAUUCACUUAUGACAAUGACCCAUGUAGUGAUCUCAAUGCGGGUCCAUCCAAUACUUUGUUCUCUAAC
rnacentral:lncRNA from 1 species